rnacentral:lncRNA from 1 species
AGAAACCCUGUCUCGAAAAAGCCAAAAAAAAAAAAAUUCUGUUUCCUGCUGAAGGGCCAUGGGGUGUCGCGCCCACCUCAGCCAGCAAGGAAGACACGACAUGGUCAGAUUCUUCUCAACAGCCUUUAUUGCAGGAACACCUCGAUGCUGCUACCGGGACAGGGCACCCAGGGAGGGCUGCUUAUAUACACCCUAGCACAGGAGAAGGCUCCAUGGCCCCCCAGGAUUGGUCAGUCUGCCUGCAUCUAAUUUGCAUGUACCUGCUCAGGAGGGGUCAGGCUAGCACCUGCGCAAUGGUGUUGUUUACCACAAAGGCACACAGAAAGCCUGCGCCAUCUUAGAGUUGGCUUCCUACAUCUCCCUCUUUUUUCUUUAAUGAAAUGAGGCUGGUCUAGGCCUGGGCAAAUCUGUCCAUGGCCAGGGCUCCUGUCUUAGGUCGAUCCUCUAGUAUCACAGCCUUACCCAUCAUAGGGUUAUCCUAUGAUGGCCUCCAGGCCCCUUCUCUUAGGUUGGUCUGUGCAUGAGGAAAGUUGCCCGUCUCUGGAUACCAUGGAUCUGUGUGACUACAACUGCCAAAUGACCUAGGGCGGACUCUUAAUUUUUUAAAGAGGCCAGCCAAAUAUUGGGAGAUGCACCAUCUUCAAUUGCCAACAAAGCUUGGUAGACCACUGCUUUAUGUUGAGCAUACUCUCUUUUUAGUUGACACAAUAGCCAGAUGCAGAAGACACACCCCAGGAGGACCACUGUCCCCCAGGCCAACAUUCCUGCCCACUCCUUUAAAAAGGAGAAGGCAUUGGUGAUCCAGGAGGUGAAGUCUCCCAGGGUGACAGGGUCGGGUCGAGUGCUGUUGAGUUUGGCAAUCUGGAGGAGCAACUUUCUGCUCUGCUUUGGCUGACCAAUUUCCUUUAAGAUAAGCAAUUUUCAUGUCAGCCUUUCUGGUACCCAAAUUGGAUGUUCUUUAUCCUGUGGAAAAACACAAACAGCUCCCCUAGAUCUCGAAAUAACGGGAUCUGGGCCAUACCAUUUACCAGUUAAGACAUCUUCCCAUUUUACAUCAUGUUGAAUUACAGGCGAGGUCAUGGCAUGCCUGUCUGCAGCCGAGCGACCAUGAUCAUCCAAAAUUUAAAAAUUUAAGGUAAAUAAAGCUAAAGAUAAUUGUUCUUUGGGUGCUCGUCCGUAGGCAAUUCCCUCUUUUUGUUUUUGUAACAGUUCUUUCAAGGUGCGAUGUGCCCUUUCCACAAUACCUUGGCCUUGUGGGCUAUAGGGAAGGCUGGUGGUAUGACUAACUUGCAUAGUUUCGCAGAAGACUUGGAAGGAUGUUGAUGUAUAUGCAGGUCCAUUAUCAGUUUUUAAAUUAGCUGGGUUUUCCCAAGCUGCCCAUGAGUCUAAGCAAUGGCUAAUAACAUUGUGGGUUUUUUCACCAGACAUAGGGGAGGCAUACAUGAUACCUGAACAGGUGUCAAUAGAAACAUGGACAUAUUUUAGUUUUCCAAAAGCUGGAACAUGUGUAACAUCUAUUUGCCAUACUUUUAGAGGGAUCAAUCCACGAGGGUUAAUCCCAACAUGGGGAGGGUGAUGAAACUGCACGCAUUGAGGGCAUUGCAAUACAACAGUUCUUACUGAGGCCCGGGAAAUAUUAAAUUUUUACUGCAAUGUGGCAGCGGGGACAUGAUACAAUUGAUGAAAACCUUUUGCAAGCUCUAAUGGAGUAACAUGAAAAAUGAAUUCCAUACGAGUACUUGCAUCUACCAGGGCAUUCCUUUCAGUCAUAGGGCCUGGCAGAGUAGAAUGAGCCCGAAUAUGCUGAAUAAAAAAUUUACUUUUCCUAUUCCAAAUCAAGUUUUGUAAUUCUGACAAAAUAGCACAUACAGGGCUGGUAGAUUUGAUGGGUCCUGCAACUUCCAAUGCUUUUACUGCAUUCACUACAUAUGCUGAAUCAGACACUAAAUUAAAGGAAAUUUCAAACCUCUUAAAUACUUCUAAUACGAUUUUACAUUCAACUAGUUGCGGGUUACCAGGAUCAUAUUGAAAUAAAACAGGGUUUUGAGAAUUAACCACAUAAGUGCCAACACCUGCUUUAGAACCAUCUGUAUAAAUAUCCAGUGCACCUGGUAUGGGUUUAGAUGUCAUAACCUUUGGAAAAAAUCACUGGAUGUUCAGUAAAAAAUUGUAAUAAAGAAUCUUUAGGAUAAUGAUUAUCUAAUUCCCCAUCAUAACUACAACGCAACAGAGCCCAUUCAUCAACUAAAGAGCUCAGGGUCUGUAUUUGGUUAGCAUUAUAUGGUGUAAUAAUUUUUUGAGGGGGGUCUCCAAAAUGUUGAAUGCAUGACUUAAUGCCCAAGAUUGCUAAAUGGGCUACAGUGGUGAGAUAAUAUUUAAGAGUUUUAUUAGGAGACACCUGAGGAUAAAUCCACAAUAGUGGACCUGAUUGCCACAAUACUCCGGUCGGUUGGCGAAACGUCUUCAGGACACACAAAUGUAUGUUCUCUCCUUCUUUCCAUCUACAUAAUUUAGCUUUUUCUAUGCACCUCUCUACCUUUCCUAAGGCAACUCGGGCCUCAGGAGUGAGGGCACAGGGGGGCGGGAGGACAAUUGAGGGUCACCUUUCAGCAUAUCAAAGAGUGGAGUUAAUUCAGAAUUGGGUAGCCUCAUAUAUGGGCGAAUCCAAUUUAUAUCACCUAGCAAUUUCUGGAAAUCAUUUAAUGUUUUUAAAUGAUCUUUGUACAAUUCUAUCUUUUGAGGUACUACAUAAUGUGAAGUAACUCGGGUACCCAAAAACUCUCCUAAAUUUCCCAUCUGAACUUUGUCAGGUGCUACAAACAAUUGUUUCUUUUCUAAUUCUUUUACUAAUUCUAUAUAAGCUUUAUCUAAACUUUAUUAUUAGAAGCAAGGAGGAUAUCAUCCAUAUAAUGCACUAUCCUCAAUUUUGGAAAUGCGUCACGGACAGGUUGUAAUGCUUCUCCUACAAAAAGUUGACACAAGUAGGACUAUUGGCCAUGUCUUGAGGUAAAACGACCCAUUGAUACCGUUUAUCAGGCCCUUCAUUAUUUACAGAAGGGAGAGUAAAAGCAAAGCGCUUGCUAUCACACAAUGCAAGUGGAAUAGAAAAAACAAUCCUUAAUAUCAAUUAUUAUUAUAGGCCAAUCAGCAGGCAGGCUAGAGAGCAGGGGCAGGCCUCUUUGUGUUGGGCCCAUAAUUUGCAUUUGAUUAUUAAUAGCUCUAAGAUCAUGUAAAAGCCUCCAUUUACCUGAUUUUUUCUUGAUUACAAAUAUAGGUGUAUUCCAUGGUGACUGGGAGGAUUUAAUAUGUCCUAAUUCCAAUUGUUCCCUUACUAAUUCCCUGGCUGCUGCCAAUUUUUCAGAGGAAAGAGGCCAUUGAGGAACCCAUACAGGUUCUUCUGUUUUCCAAGUAAUGGGUAUACAGCCCUCAACGGCCCCUAGGAAAAACCCAGUCCUUUUUUAUCUAGUUUAAACUUGGUUGGUACUGGCAUAGUACUGCCUUGUAAUGACUUUCCUAAUCCUUUACCUGGAGUAUAGCCCAUGUUAGACAUUAUCUCCUUAGCUUGUGGGGAAUAUUCAUUAAUCUAAGAUCCAUCUUGGUCAGGACAUCCCUGCCCCACAGAGUCACAGGAAUAUCCACAAUAUAAGGGAUAAAUUUUCCUGACUUACCUUCGUCAUUUCUCCAGGUUAAUUCCUUAGUACUGACAAGAGGAGCAGUCUCGUAACCCAGAUCACGCAGGCUUUGAGAUGAUGUCUGCAAGGGCCACUUUGACAGCCAAUCAUGAGUGGAGAUAAUACUGCAAUCUGCACCAGUGUCUAAUAAUCCUAAAAAGGAUUAAAAAGUUAGCAUGGGGUGGUCUCCUAAUUCCAUAGAUAAGAAAGCAAAUCAAGAACCUGUAGAACCUAGUCUGUUCUCUCUUAUUUUAUUAUUUGCUGGGAAAUAUUUAUGUAAACUGGGUAAUAGCAACAAUUGAGCAAUUCUAUCUCCCGUGGAGAUAGCUGAGAUGCCAGCAGGGGAGGCUACCAAAACCUUUACAACUCCAGUAUAGUCAGGAUCAAUCACUCCAGGGGUUAUCUGUAAUCCUUUUAAAGCAGAAGAUGAGCGGCCAAGCAAUAGUCCUACAGUAUCUUUGGGAAGGGGGCCUUUAAAAUCUGUAUCUACCUAAUAAAAAAUGG